rnacentral:piRNA from 1 species
UGUUUGUGGACUGUGCUUCAGAGAUGAUGA